UCCAAACCCUGCACUGCUCUCAUGGGACAUCCGAUACAGCGUCAGCAGUGGUGUGGCGUAUUCCAGAACACAGCUAAAAGUCUACAGGAACACAAAGAGAAGGCCACCAGCUGAUGAGGGUUCAGAAAUGCAUGCUGGGAGAGAGGGAGCGGUCCGGUCUCAGGUGUGAAAGGUGCUCGUGUUCAGCUUCUCUGCCUGCUAAAUGAUGGCAUUUUCAUAGCUGAGGAGCAACAUCUUCGUCCUGCGUCAGACCCGCUGCCUGUGCUGAAUGACGCUUUGACUCAUGGGAAAUUAAGUUCACAAGAUCAUGCCCUGUUUUCUUGUCAGAGAUGUCUGUAUCAGUAACCUGUGACAGGGGCCUCUAUGUCCAGCAUGGUCUUCUCCUGGCGGAGGAUGGCGGCCCCCUCGUUGAUGAUGCGCAGAGCGACGGGCUCCUCUA